AAUUGAAGAGAACGACUGCUUGUGAUGUACUCUCUUUUUGCCCUAGCAUAGUUAUAUCACAGUGGCUGUUCUUUUUAAUU
rnacentral:pre_miRNA from 1 species